rnacentral:lncRNA from 13 species
GAAACACACUGUCACACAUAAACACAGUGGAAAAAUAAGCCCACACAAAGAGCAGGCAGGCCUACCGGCUUAAAUAGCCCAACUAAAAAUCUAAACAAGAAACCGGUGAAACCAUUAAGACAAAACCAACAGAAAAGGGAAAAGGGAUCGGUGGCAGCUAGUAGACCGGUGACGAUGACCGCCGCGCGCCGCCCGAACAGGAAGAGAAGCCACCUUCGGUAGGAGUCGUGACACAAACAUCUUCCACUGACAGAUUCUUAGAGAAUUGUGGGUAUUGUUUGGUGUUUCGUUAUGCUCUCUAUCUUUUAAAUCGUCUACGUGUAUUCUAUAGAACAUUCUGUCAUAUUCAUCCAAACAAACAAUGAUAUUGUCAUAAACUUCACAUCACGAUGCCCUUGUUACGGAGUUCAAACUGGCUGUGAAAAUGUUGACAGUGUAAAUGCAGCCAUGUGUGACCUCAUCCCAGCUUUAAACUCCAAAUGGUAGACUGGGGAGGAUGAGGUCACUCUGAGACAUGGCGUCCACUUCCUGUCAGGAGCAUGUGGAAGGAAGAGGGAUGCUGUGAAGCCCCAUUUGGACAGCAUUUAUCAGGAGAGGAGAACAGAUCCAUUAUAACAAAAGUGAGUGGGAGGGAAUCUCUGUAAUCGCUUCACAUUCAGACAGUUUGAUAUCCACAGGCACAAGUAAGAACAUGCACGCACAGACACACAAACAUACACGAGCAGGCACGAUGGCGCACAAACACACCCAUGCAGUCACACGCACAUGCACACACACAAUUUCCUGUAGUGGUGAUUGAAUGUUUCUUUCCCCCCUCAGAAACAACAUAAUGAACAUGAGAGAUUUUCAGUGUUUUAUUAACGUACAGGUUUGAACAAUUCCUCUGUUGAUGAGUGCACACUGCCCUUUGCAAAUCAUUCAAUAUUGUGAUACACAACAUGUUACCAUAUUUAAGCAAUUAUUGUGAACAGGAACCAUCUUGCCAUUUUUGAGAGGGUUGACAGACAUAGAAAUUCUCUGAUGAAAUACAGUGU